rnacentral:rRNA from 1 species
UACGGAGGAUCCAAGCGUUAUCCGGAAUCAUUGGGUUUAAAGGGUCCGUAGGCGGUUUAAUAAGUCAGUGGUGAAAGCCCAUCGCUCAACGGUGGAACGGGCCAUUGAUACUGUUAAACUUGAAUUAUUAGGAAGUAACUAGAAUAUGUAGUGUAGCGGUGAAAUGCUUAGAGAUUACAUGGAAUACCAAUUGCGAAGGCAGGUUACUACUAAUGGAUUGACGCUGAUGGACGAAAGCGUGGGUAGCGAACAGG